rnacentral:rRNA from 1 species
GAUGAACGCUGGCGGUCUGCUUAACACAUGCAAGUCGAACGGAAGUAGCAAUACUUUAGUGGCGGACGGGUGAGUAACACGUAAGAAUCUGCCUCCAGGACGGGAAAAACAGUUGGAAACGACUGCUAAUUCCGGAUGAGCCGAAAGGUAAAAAGAAAUUCGCCUGGAGAUGAGCUUGCGGCUGAUUAGCUAGUUGGUAGGGUAAGAGCCUACCAAGGCGACGAUCAGUAGCUGGUCUGGAAGGAUGAGCAGCCACACUGGGACUGAGACACGGCCCAGACUCCUACGGGAGGCAGCAGUGGGGAAUUUUCCGCAAUGGGCGAAAGCCUGACGGAGCAAGACCGCGUGGGGGAGGAAGGUUCUUGGAUUGUCAACCCCUUUUCUCAGGGAAGAAGAUCUGACGGUACCUGAGGAAUCAGCAUCGGCUAACUCCGUGCCAGCAGCCGCCGUAAUAC